rnacentral:lncRNA from 7 species
GGGUCUCUUAUAUGGGGGGGCUCUUAUAUGGGGGGUCCCUCUAAUUUGGAGGGGUCUCUUAUAUUGGGGGGAUCCCUCCUAUUUGGGGGGGUUCCCUUCAAUUCGGGGGGGGUCCCUUCAAUUUGGGGGGGAUCCCUCUUCUAUGGGGGGGGGGUCCCUAAUUUGAGGGGGGGUCUCUGACCUCCCCCCCCCCCCUUUAAUGUGCAGACAUUUACGUGUCGGGGUGGGGUCCCUUUAAUUUGGGGGGGUCCCUUUAAUUGGGGGGGGUCUCUUAUAUGGAGGGCCCUCUAAUUUGGAGGGGUCUUUAUAUGGGGGGGGUCUCUUAUAUGGGGGGGUCCCUUCAAUUUGGGGGGUCUCUUCAAUUUGGGGGGGGUCCCUCUUCUAUGGGGGGGUCCCUAAUUUGAGGGGGGGUCUCUGACCUCCCCCCCCCCCAUUCAAUGUGCAGACAUUUACGUGUUCGGGGUGGGAUCCCUUCAAUUUGGGGUCGGUUCCUUCAAUUUGUGGGGGGGUCCCUCCAAUUUGGGGGGGAUCCCUUUAAUUUGGGGGGGGCCUCUUAUAUGGGGGGGGCCUCGUACAAGGGGGGGUCCCUCUAAUUUUGGGGGGGGGUCUCUUAUAUGGGAGGGUCCCUCUAAUUUGGAGGGGUCUCUUAUAUGGGGGGGUCUCUUAUAUGGGGGGUCCUCCAAUUUGGGGGGUCCCUUCAAUUGGGGGGGGUCCCUCUUCUAUGGGGGGGGGUCCCUAAUUUGAGGGGGGGUCUCUGACCUCCCCCCCCCCCCCCAUUAAUGUGCAGACAUUUACGUGUUCGGGGUGGGGUCCCUCCAAUUUGGGGGGAUCCCUUCAAUUUGGGGGGGGUCCGUCUAAUUUGGGGGGGUCCCUUUAAUUUGGGGGGGGUCCCUCUUCUAUGGGGGGGGUCCCUAAUUGAGGGGGGGUCUCUGACCUCCCCCCCCCCCCCCCAUUAAUGUGCAGACAUUUACGUGUUCGGGGUGGGGCAGCACUCGGAGCGGGCGGUGCUGAACGCGAUGGCGUCCAAAAAGGACGGCGAGGAACACGUGUGGGUGCUGAGGGAGCUGGACGACCUCCACAGCGCCUUCCACGCCAUGAUCGACGAGAGCGCCGCGAUGGGGCUGUGUGGGAUCGCCCACG